CUGGCCGUUCAACAGCUUGCAGCUUGAAACAGUGGAGGCAGGAGGCGGGGAUUCCAUCUCUGGCUUACGCUUGCAGCUGUUCGACGCCAGGGUCUCUUCCUGUGGAUUCCUGGAGGCCUUGUAACUCGAAGAAGCGAUGGAGACAGGAGGUAAGUCCAUGACACAGAGACCAUCGAGCCACCACCCUUUAGGCUUUCUGUAAUGGCCCAUCCUGAUUUGUGCCUCGGUUUGAGGUCCGAUCGGGUGCGGCCGCCACUGCCCAGAACAUUCCAUUCAACCCUUCCUUGAAACCCUUUCUCUUCAUACUCCUUCCUAGAAGCGUUCCGGUUGCUUCUUGUGAUCAUUACGAGUGUUGGCGGAGAAGAGAUGAUGGCAGUGACAACUCUUUUCACAGACUUACUCUUUGAUGUCGACUCUGUUCUUGGGUGCCUGAGACGGAGAUCAGAGGAACUGUUUGAGUGGGUCCAUAGCAUCUGACUAUGAACAGCUACUUAUGCCUUCUAUGUGGUCUGAGUGGUUCGGUUCGUCAGAGGAGCUCUGCGAGAAACAUUAACAAGAAUUACGCGCACGACGUGUUUGAUGGUAUGUGUAAGAGUAACAUUUCUUGUGAUCAUCAGAGAGAUGAUGGCAGUGGCAACUCUUUUGACGACGUACUCUUCGAUGUCGACUCGGUUCUUGGGUGCCUGAGACGGAGAUCAGAGGAACUGUUUGAGUGGGUCCAUAGCAUCUGACUAUGAACAGCUACUUAUGCCUUCUGUGUGGUCGAAUUGUUCAGUUCGUCAGUGGAGAUCUGUGAGUAACAUAAGCAAGAAUUGCGCACAUGACAUGUUUGAUGGUAUGUGUAGGAGUAACAUUUCUUGUGAUCAUCGGAGAGAUGAUGGCAGUGGCAACUCUGUUCACGGCCUACUCUUUGAUGUUGACUCAGUUCUUGGGUGCCUGAGACGGAGAUCAGAGGAACUGUUUGAGUGGGUCCAUAGCAUCUGACUGUGAACAGCUACUUAUGCCUUCUAUGUGGUCGAAUGGUCAGCUCGUCAGUGGAGAUCUGUGAGUAACAUUAGCAAGAAUUACGCACAUGACGUGUUUGAUGGUAUUUGUAAGAGUAACAUUUCUUGUGAUCAUCAGAGAUAUGAUGGCAGUGGCAACGCUGUUCACGGCGUACUGUUCGAUGUCGACUCAGUUCUUGGGUGCCUGAGAGGGAGAUCAGAGGAUCUGUUUGAGUGGGUCCAUAGCAUCUGAUUAUGAACAGGUACUUGCCUUCUAUGUGGUUGAAUGUUUUGGUUCAUUGGUGAAUUACGCACAUGACGUGUUUGAUGGUAUGUGUAAGGGUGACAUGUUACGUGAUCUUUGAUGAUGAACGCAAGAUAAGAGUUUUACUUAUCAUUUGAUCAGAAUGGAAUAAUGGGAGUGGAGUAAGAUGCCUUGGUUUUAGUCACAGAGUUUGUGCCUGAUUACAUGGAAAUAUGAAGAAGCUAUUGAUUUUAAGAAGUAUACUUCUAGAACUGAAGCUGGAGACGAUAAUGCAAGCUCUCUUUUCUGAUAAAGAAGUCACUGGGAUGGAUGUCUGUCUAAUAGGUAGAACUGGAGAACACGCAAGUUGAUUUGGGAUCCUUUAUCUAAGAGUCUUGAGGCCUAUCUUUCAAUACAUCUUUAUGGAGCAAUUCUUUCAUAGCUGAAGAGCUAUCUAUGUUGAUUACCAUUCCAAUGAGAAUACUCAGGACACAAUUAUCUACUGUUGCAGGACCUCCAUAGCUUGAAUGGCAGCAUGUCCGUAUGAUUUGGCCUUGGCACUGGAGGUACAAAGUCUUGAUUUGUUGCAUCCAUCAUUUGCAUCGAUCGAACGUUCAUCUGUUGUUUUGCUGUUGCUCGAUGCUUGCAUUCUGGCAGCAGCUUGGGAUGGAUAGCCAAGAUCAUCAAAAUAAGGCAGCCCAACCUUGUGCUCGACAUCGAAUUCUGGUGUCCUCAAGCUGUCUGAGCCUGUCUCGCCCACCGAACCCAUGGUCUCUCCUGAGGAUGUCUCCUGCUGUUGCUGCAUCUUCUCCCAGGCUUCCCUUGUUGGAGCUGCGGCUUGCAUCAGCCAACCUGUACUCAUGCAUGAUCCAAUCGGUCUUCACGCCUCUUGGUGCCUUGCCGGUGUAGAAGACCAAAGCUUUUUUGAUACCCAAAGUCCUUUCGCUGCCCUUUGCUGAGAUUGGCUUAUCGGCACCAGUUGCCUUCCAGUAUCCCUUCCCGGCGGCCCUGUUGGGUCUCGAGCCGUUGAGUACCUGGUAGCUCCCAGGGGUUGUGCUUGUAGAGAUCGAUCUCGACGAUGAUGGGUGCGGGUAGGCACAGGCAGGCCAUCUUCCGGCAGAGGUAGUGCACGACGAGCUCUUCGUCCGUGGGGUGGAAGCGGAACCCCGGUGGCAGGUUGAGCUCCGCUUCCGCGUCUCUUUUCCUCCCCAUCCUCGUCUCCUUCGCCGGCUCACAAGUCAAGAAAGCUCUCCACUCUCUCUCAGAUGGCAGCCAAAAGUUGCACCGGCAACGAUUGGUAAAAAUACGUACGUGUGUGGACCUGUGGGACAUGGGAGGAGUUGUGUGGGUUCUUGAGUGGAUCCCAUCGGCCGCAUGUGGGACCCAGGAAACUUCGUGUGCGGUUCGGAGGCGGCUGACGACCAUUGAUCUCCUUGGAAGAGUAAUAUUUUGAUUAUAAUGAUUUUUUUCUUAUUGUAAUUAAUUUAAAGUUGAGAUAAAAAGGGACGGGUCUCUGUUUAAACCUAACCCCCACCCCCCCCCAACCAAAAAAAAAAAGGAAUUAGAUCAAAUUAUUCGAACAGUAGAAAUGGAACGAAGAAGUGA